rfam:Ovis aries breed Texel chromosome 3, whole genome shotgun sequence.
UCCCUGGUGGUCCAGUGGCUAAGACUCUGCACUUCCAAUGCAGGGGGCCCAAGUUGGAUCCCUGGUUAGGGAA